rnacentral:rRNA from 1 species
AACGAACGCUGGCGGCAUGCCUAACACAUGCAAGUCGAACGAGAUCUUCGGAUCUAGUGGCGCACGGGUGCGUAACGCGUGGGAAUCUGCCCUUGGGUUCGGAAUAACAGUGAGAAAUUACUGCUAAUACCGGAUGAUGUCUUCGGACCAAAGAUUUAUCGCCCAGGGAUGAGCCCGCGUAGGAUUAGGUAGUUGGUGGGGUAAUGGCCUACCAAGCCGACGAUCCUUAGCUGGUCUGAGAGGAUGAUCAGCCACACUGGGACUGAGACACGGCCCAGACUCCUACGGGAGGCAGCAGCGGGGAAUAUUGGACAAUGGGCGCAAGCCUGAUCCAGCAAUGCCGCGUGAGUGAUGAAGGCCUUAGGGUUGUAAAGCUCUUUUACCAGGGAUGAUAAUGACAGUACCUGGAGAAUAAGCUCCGGCUAACUCCGUGCCAGCCGCCGCCGUAA